UUCUGGCUCAGGAUGAACGCUGGCGGCGUGCCUAAUACAUGCAAGUCGAACGCUAACCUUCGGGUUAGAGUGGCGAACGGGUGAGUAACACGUAGGUAACCUGCCCAUAAGACGAGGAUAACUACUGGAAACGGUAGCUAAUACUGGAUAGGAUAUUGAAUCGCAUGAUUUUAAUAUUUUAAAGAUGCGUUUGCAUCACUUAUGGAUGGACCUGCGGCGCAUUAGCUAGUUGGUGAGGUAACGGCCCACCAAGGCGACGAUGCGUAGCCGGACUGAGAGGUUGAACGGCCACAUUGGGACUGAGACACGGCCCAGACUCCUACGGGAGGCAGCAGUAGGGAAUUUUCGGCAAUGGACGCAAGUCUGACCGAGCAACGCCGCGUGAGUGAAUGAAGUUCUUCGGAACGUAAAAUUCUUUUAUUUGGAAAAAACGUAUAUUAUAGGAAAUGAUAAUAUAGUGAUGGUACCAAAUGAAUAAGCCCCGGCUAACUAUGUGCCAGCAGCAGC
rnacentral:rRNA from 1 species